GACCCACAUUGGCUUUCGAUUCGCUCUACUCCGCAAGCGAUGACAUGCAGCCGGGUUCAUACUCACAAAGAUCCCAGCAGAAUUUCGGGAGGUACUUUCCAAGUCAACCAACCAGUGUGAGUCAACCCGAGAAUGAAGCAAAACAAAAAGGCAGAGAUUUUGAGACGUUGGCCGUUGACGUCGUCAGUUUUUUAGAGGCCUAUUCAUUUCCGAGGGUUGUAGGAUUCCGACAUACCCAAUUACUCCCUAACACGCGGAAGACAGAAAUAGGUCGAGUUACCCCAAUCAACUCUAAUGGUGACACUUGUAUCACUCAUUCGACUGCCAAGCAUCAACUCCACCUGGUCUGUGAACACAGCUUAAACCCCCAUUCUAGGUUUCUCAUGACACAUUGCACACGGUUUCGGCUUUCAGCAUAACAAUUCUACAAGUGUAUGUGUGGCACGUUAGAGUGGUCAGAAGCGUCUCUAGAAGCAGUGAACGUUUCAAAAACCAUUGAGCUUUCUUAGUAAGUGUCAUCGAAGUAGCUUUCGGAGUAAGACCAACUAGCUCAGCCAUUCAGGUUCGUAGUUCUCCGCUGCCGUGACUGCGAUGCAAGAUUUUCCUACCCAACUCAUGAAUUAUCAGUUUGGGAUUAGUUUCAGCGCGUUUAGGGUUUCCUUUUAAACUGUUGCGACUAUUGUGUUGCUGCUGCAUCUCCCUCUGUCAGAGCAUGUACACCCCCUGUCACGAAGGCGCACCUUGUGUACGAGGAUCGUGGGUUUGUUUGAAACAGAUCAGUCCUCCGAAUGAAGCAGCAGUGGCAUUGCACUUCUUUGCAUUGCCACCAAUGACCAGCUCGACUCGAUCAUAAGUUAUAGACAUCGCCAUGAUCUGUGACGAAUGCAGAUCCGAGAAGUGGGUAUGUCGAAACGGCGUUUGAAUUUGGUGGGUCUUGAAUCGAAUUGCUACCGCAAUGCUUGCUUCAAAUGAUACGCAUCGCCGCGGGUGUUCAGCCUGCAUCUCGGAAACGAUGUUAGUAAUAUUUUCCACCGUCCUUUAGGGUUACGUUCUCUUUUCGAUCUUUAAUUUAGGGCAGUCGUUAUCUUAGAUUUCCAAACCUUAUAUUCUUUUGUUUUUCUCAUUUUUUUUCGUUUCAACCACCGAUAAUCAAUCUUCAAAUUGGACAUUCGAAGUGGGUGUUGGUUAGAAAAAAAAUGUGAAAUCAAUAUUCAACCAAAUAAAGAAGUUGGGUAGGUUUUAAAAAAAUUUAAUCGAAGUUUGAUUAGAUUUGUUUACAAAAAGGUAGUUGAAGAAAAAUUGCAGUUCAGAAAGGUGUAAGUUAUCAAAAAAAAAUUAUGAAGAUUGUUAAACUAAAUAGUAGUAAAACCUAAAGUAGCUAGGAGUGCUGUCAAUAUGUAAAUUAAGAAUGUGUUCCAUUUAGAGAUCAAUUUAAAUUAUAUUUAAGAGUCUCUUUAGAAUAAUACUCACUUUAUUAAGUAUUAAAAAUUUAUAAGAUGGGUUUUGUCUAAUGCCUACUACUUAUAUAUUACUCUUAUUCUUAAGAAGAGUACGCAUUUAAUAAAAUGUUCCAUCCAAAUUGGACCUAUUACAAGUGAUAAUCGAUUA